rnacentral:lncRNA from 1 species
AUGGCAACCCGCUGGCAUGGAAGGAGCGCCAGGAAAUGUCAGGGCGAGGUGAGCCCCGGGGAGGGGCUGGGGCUCUUGGGGGGGCCACAUCCCACCGUGGGGACACGGCAGAGGCCGGCGGGACCGAGGGCAGCGGUGGGAGACCCAGGAGCUGACCGGAGCCGCGCAUCCCCCCCCCGGCUGCCCACAGGUCCAGUACCGCCCCAUUACGACAGGUCCUUAACUGGGGUUGGGGGGGUGCCCCGGGGUGCCCCCAGCCCCACUUUGGGCUUGCAGCGAGGCCCCUCUCGCCCUCCGGCCCCGUGUCCCUGCCCACCUCCCAUCACGGUGCGAUGCGCAGUUGUGCAGGACCCAAAGGUCUCACCGAGGCCCCCCCCCCAGCUUUUUUUAGGGGUGAUGGUGCUCAGGGUGGUGCUGGGAAAAGACACAGCAUCUGGCUUCGCUCUGUCCCCCCCCCCCAAUCCAUCCUGCAGGGCCCUUAUCCAUUGCAGAAGGGUCUGGGCCACCUUUAUGUGCCCCUUCCCAGAAAACGGGGGAACCACCCCAAAAAAACCCCAUUACCUUCAGGCCCGGCGUGGCUGGGGGCUGCGCUGCUCCGCGAGGGUGCUGGGCUCCAACGCUGGGGGCUGCAGGGCUUGGGGGGGCUUUUUUCCCCACCCCACGCUGCCACCUCUCUGCCAGGCAGCAGCUGAGGAGGGGCUGCUCCAUCAGGGCUCUGUGCACCCCAUUUAUUUUUUUUUUUGGGGGGGGGGACACAGGCCUUGCAGCUGGGGAAGAGGCGCACUGGCUGCUUUUGGGGUCCCCCCCCCCCACAUGCAUACGGGGCUGGAUCCCAGCCCAGCGGGGUGGAGGCUGCUUCUCCGUGUCCUUUGGGGUCGUGGUGAUAUAGGGGGGGGGACGGGACACGACAGGAGCAGAGCAGGGGAUGCGCGCCCCCCCCUCUCCACGGCACCGGGACUGGGCACCGCGCGUCCCCGCGGCCACCCGACGGGAUGGGCCGGGGCCGGGCUCCUCUCCCGGGGCUUCCCGUGGUCGUUUCACGUCUUACACCAGGGAGGGAACGAGCCCAGGGCUCCCUCCGGACACCCUCCUCUCCCCCCGGUCCCCCCCCGUGGCGGUGCAUCCUCCCCCCAAGCCCCCACCCGGUUGUUUUGCAAAAGCCCUGAAAUAUUCAUGGCGCUGCGCACAGCGCCUCGGAAUGAAUUUUUGAUCAAAACCUUAUCAGGGAGCCAAAAUACGGCUCCCACCCCCCCCCCAAAAAAAAAAAAAACCCCCCCCAAAAAAAAAAAAGCAAAA